rnacentral:rRNA from 1 species
GGACCUCGGGGAACUCCAACCCAUGUGAACGUUACCAAACUGUUGCCUCGGCGGGAUCUCUGCCCCGGGUGCGUCGCAGCCCCGGACCAAGGCGCCCGCCGGAGGACCAACCAAAACUCUUUUUGUAUACCCCCUCGCGGGUUUUUUAUAAUCUGAGCCUUCUCGGCGCCUCUCGUAGGCGUUUCGAAAAUGAAUCAAAACUUUCAACAACGGAUCUCUUGGUUCUGGCAUCGAUGAAGAACGCAGCGAAAUGCGAUAAGUAAUGUGAAUUGCAGAAUUCAGUGAAUCAUCGAAUCUUUGAACGCACAUUGCGCCCGCCAGUAUUCUGGCGGGCAUGCCUGUCCGAGCGUCAUUUCAACCCUCGAACCCCUCCGGGGGGUCGGCGUUGGGGAUCGGCCCUGCCUCUUGGCGGUGGCCGUCUCCGAAAUACAGUGGCGGUCUCGCCGCAGCCUCUCCUGCGCAGUAGUUUGCACACUCGCAUCGGGAGCGCGGCGCGUCCACAGCCGUUAAACACCCAACUUCUGAAAUGUUGACCUCGGAUCAGGUAGGAAUACCCGCUGAACUUAAGCAUAUCAAUAAGCGGAGGAACAUUUCAA